CCGAGUCAAUGGUUAACCCGCGCUCACCCCGCGCCUCCCCUCCUGACGAAGCAGCCCAGGCUCUCUGCUCCGCAGAGCUGGAGCGGCACAGGAGCCCCACACACCUCCCUGAGCACCUGGGCACAGCCAUCUCUGGGCCUGCAGGCACAGCUUCCACCUGCAUCCCUUUGAUCACCUGCUGAAUAAGUUGUACUAAGCAAGGGGUCAUGCAUGGGCAAAAGAUGAGAGUUGCUACAGCACACAAGAGGAAAAAAUAAUUCAUUUAACCCACACUCCACCAGGUAACCAUGAAAACACACCCCAUUCUCAUCUUUUCAACAUUUGGACCAGUACAUGAGCUGACUUUUUAAUUCCCUUCGUUAUUUAUUUCUCUUCUUUUCCACUGUCAUCUAUUUGCAAUCAGCAGUUUGAGUCAUUUAAUUUUCCACACAUUAGUAUUGAUCCACAGCCCACUGAAACCAUGGGAAUCCUCUCAUUGGCACCAAGGCAUUCGGGAUUAAGUUCCUACAUUUUGAGACACGUUCCUUCCUCUUCGAUUUUUUUUUUUUUUUCCCCUUUAGGGAGUGUAACUAGCAGAACAUAACAACCCAAAGUUGGGUGCAAUUUUGCAACUUUUCUGAUGCUGUAACGAGCUGUGCUCCCAGGGUUCAUUAUGGGGCUGUCUUGAAGCUCGCUGGUGAAACAGGAAAAACAAGAAAUCCGACCUCACUGCAGUGCUUAAUUGAGGUGCAUUUAUUGACUGCUUUUAAGCUCUUACAGCAACUGUGUUUGCUGAGAACUGAGGGCUCUUGGCUUUAAUUCACCCUUAGCAGACACAGCCUCGACAAAAACCUGUCACCCUCCAGGGCUGGGCUGGGCUGGACUGGGAGCUGCAGCUGGAGAUUGGAGAUUUCCCUCUCCUUGUGAUGCUGUUCAGCUUCUCUCCCUCUCCAGAACUCCCAUGUGGGAUGAAAAUGCCAGAGGUAAACGAGAGCAUCAUGCUGGGCAUGUUUUUGGUGAUUUCUUAGUGCCAGGGCAAGUAACCUGGAUCAAUAAAGAGAAAAAAAACCCUUUUGCUAAAGGAUCUUGAAGAUUCCUCAAGCUGCAAAUCUUUUGAAGGGUUUGGAUCUCUGAUCUCAUAACGCUGAGGAGGGAGGACUGAGAAAAAUGUAAAUCAGAGCCAAAGGGAGCUGCAGUGGGAUCUGUGCUGGGAAAUCUGCCUUAGACACAGCAGUGCUGGCCCUGGUGUGUGCUGAAUGCUGCUGAAUUCUUCUCCCCAUCCCUCUGCACUGGAACUUCAGGCAGAGAGCUGAGGUCUGUGACCCUGCUGUGACCUGAAGAACAGCUCCUCACCUCCCUCAGCAGGCACUGCUGCCUCCAGCACCAUCCACCAGCUCUGAACUUUGCCCAGUUUUGUCUGGAUUCAGGGAACUUGUUCCACUGGCAGGAAGGAGUUCUGGGUUUAUUGUGUUAUCUCUGAUCUUAAGUGGGGAGCUGAGCACAGCUGAGAGCAGCUGCCUGAUGCUGAGGCAGGGAAUGUGUUCUGCAGGAGGCAGGAGGGGUGGAAAUCAGUCCUGGAAUUGAUGGAGUAGAUGGAAUAGAUGGAUGUGGCCCUCCCCUGGUGCAGGAGAUAAAGCUGAGCUUGCAAGAAGUGCAAAGGGACAUUUUUGGGGAUCUCAUUUUUGGGGGAUCUCAUUUUUAGGUAUCUAUCUCAUUUUUGGGUAUCUCAUUUUAGGUAUCU
rnacentral:lncRNA from 12 species